CCUACGGGUGGCUGCAGUGAGGAAUAUUGGUCAAUGGGCGGAAGCCUGAACCAGCCAAGUAGCGUGCAGGAUGACGGCCCUACGGGUUGUAAACUGCUUUUAUACGGGAAUAACGCGCCUUACGUGUAGGGCUUUGCAUGUACCGUAUGAAUAAGGACCGGCUAAUUCCGUGCCAGCAGCCGCGGUAAUACGGAAGGUCCGGGCGUUAUCCGGAAUCAUUGGGCGUAAAGAGUUCGUAGGUGGCAUAUUAAGUCUGGUGUUAAAUGCAGAAGCUCAACUUCUGUUCGGCACUGGAUACUGGUAAGCUUGAAUGCGGUAGAGGUAAAGGGAAUUCCUGGUGUAGCGGUGAAAUGCGUAGAUAUCAGGAGGAACAUCGGUGGCGUAAGCGCUUUACUGGGCCGUAAUUGACACUGAGGAACGAAAGCCGGGGUAGCAAAUGGGAUUAGAUACCCCUGUAGUC
rnacentral:rRNA from 1 species